rnacentral:rRNA from 1 species
UACGUAGGGCGCAAGCGUUGUCCGGAAUUAUUGGGCGUAAAGAGCUCGUAGGCGGUUUGUCGCGUCUGCUGUGAAAACUCGAGGCUCAACCUCGGGCUUGCAGUGGGUACGGGCAGACUAGAGUGCGGUAGGGGGUGACUGGAAUUCCUGGUGUAGCGGUGGAAUGCGCAGAUAUCAGGAGGAACACCGAUGGCGAAGGCAGGUCACUGGGCCGCAACUGACGCUGAGGAGCGAAAGCAUGGGGAGCGAACAGG